CAGUAGCCACGGUAAUACAGAGGGUGCGAGCGUUAAUCGGAUUUACUGGGCGUAAAGCGUGCGUAGGCGGCUUUUUAAGUCGGAUGUGAAAUCCCUGAGCUUAACUUAGGAAUUGCAUUCGAUACUGGGAAGCUAGAGUAUGGGAGAGGAUGGUAGAAUUCCAGGUGUAGCGGUGAAAUGCGUAGAGAUCUGGAGGAAUACCGAUGGCGAAGGCAGCCAUAUGGCCUAAUACUGACGCUGAGGUACGAAAGCAUGGGGAGCAAACAGGAUUAGAUACCCCAGUAGUCCCUGUCUCUUAUAC
rnacentral:rRNA from 1 species